UAGGGAAUCUUCCACAAUGGACGCAAGUCUGAUGGAGCAACGCCGCGUGAGUGAAGAAGGUUUUCGGAUCGUAAAGCUCUGUUGUUGGUGAAGAAGGAUAGAGGUAGUAACUGGCCUUUAUUUGACGGUAAUCAACCAGAAAGUCACGGCUAACUACGUGCCAGCAGCCGCGGUAAUACGUAGGUGGCAAGCGUUGUCCGGAUUUAUUGGGCGUAAAGCGAGCGCAGGCGGAAGAAUAAGUCUGAUGUGAAAGCCCUCGGCUUAACCGAGGAACUGCAUCGGAAACUGUUUUUCUUGAGUGCAGAAGAGGAGAGUGGAACUCCAUGUGUAGCGGUGGAAUGCGUAGAUAUAUGGAAGAACACCAGUGGCGAAGGCGACUCUCUGGUCUGCAACUGACGCUGAGGCUCGAAAGCGUGGGUAGCAAACAGG
rnacentral:rRNA from 1 species